rnacentral:rRNA from 1 species
UAGGGAAUCUUCGGCAAUGGACGAAAGUCUGACCGAGCAACGCCGCGUGAGUGAAGAGGGUUUUCGGAUCGUAAAACUCUGUUGGUAGAGAAGAACGUUGGUGAGAGUGGAAAGCUCAUCAAGUGACGGUAACUACCCAGAAAGGGACGGCUAACUACGUGUCAG